rfam:Felis catus isolate Cinnamon breed Abyssinian chromosome F2, whole genome shotgun sequence.
GCCUGGGUGGCUCAGUCGGUUGAGCGUCCGACUUCGGCUCAGGUCAUGAUCUCACAGUUCGUGGGUUCGAGCCCCGCGUCGGGCU